rnacentral:rRNA from 1 species
GACGAACGCUGGCGGCGUGCCUAAUACAUGCAAGUCGAACGCAGUGGGGACGGGUUAGUAACACGUGGGUAACCUCCCAUCAGAGGGGAUAACACUUGGCAACAGGUGCUAAACCGAUAUUGAUUGAUGGACCCGCGGUGCAUUAGCUAGUUGGUGGGGGAACGGCUCACCAAGGCCAAGAUACUUAGCCGGCCCGAGAGGGUUAUCGGCCACACUGGGAAUGAGAAACGGGCCAGAAUCCUACGGGAGGGAGCAGUAGGGAAUCAUCGGCAAUGGACGGAAGUCUGACCGAGCAACGGCGCGUGAGUGAAGAAGGGUUUCGGAUCGUAAAGCUAUGUUGUGAGAGAAGCGGUAACUAACCAGAAAGGGACGGCUAACUACGUGCCAGCCGCCGCGGUAAUAC